rnacentral:rRNA from 1 species
UGAGGAAUAUUGGUCAAUGGGCGAAAGCCUGAACCAGCCAUGCCGCGUGCAGGAAGAAUGUCCUAUGGAUUGUAAACUGCUUUUAUUUGGGAAUAAACCCCUCUACGUGUAGAGGGCUGAAGGUACCAAAUGAAUAAGCACCGGCUAACUCCGUGCCAGCAGCCGCGGUAAUACGGAGGGUGCAAGCGUUAUCCGGAAUUAUUGGGUUUAAAGGGUCCGCAGGCGGACAUAUAAGUCAGUGGUGAAAGCCUACAGCUUAACUGUAGAACUGCCAUUGAUACUGUAUGUCUUGAAUUUGAUCGAAGUGGGCGGAAUGUGUAAUGUAGCGGUGAAAUGCUUAGAUAUUACACAGAACACCGAUAGCGAAGGCAGCUCACUAGGUUAUAAUUGACGCUCAUGGACGAAAGCGUGGGGAGCGAACAGG